rnacentral:rRNA from 1 species
AAUCAACGCUGGCGGCGUGCCUCAGACAUGCAAGUCGAACGAUUAAAGCUCCCUUCGGGGAGUGCAUAGAGUGGCGCACGGGUGAGUAACACGUAAGUAAUCUACCCUCGGGUGGGGAAUAACGUUCGGAAACGGACGCUAAUACCGCAUAAUGCAGCGGCACCGCAAGGUGACAGUUGUUAAAGAUUUAUUGCCUGGGGAGGAGCUUGCGGCAGAUUAGCUUGUUGGUAAGGUAACGGCUUACCAAGGCUACGAUCUGUAUCCGGUCUAAGAGGACGGUCGGACACACUGACACUGAAUAACGGGUCAGACUCCUACGGGAGGCAGCAGUCGGGAAUUUGGGCAAUGGGGGAAACCCUGACCCAGCAACGCCGCGUGAAGGAUGAAGUAUUUCGGUAUGUAAACUUCGAAAGAAUAGGAAGAAUUAAUGACGGUACUAUUUAUAAGGUCCGGCUAACUACGUGCCAGCAGCCGCCGUAAC